AAAAAAGGAAAAUUCGAGAACCCAAAUAGAGAAAGUCUUCUUUGUAUCGUCACUCUCUGUUGUUCUUAUCUCACAUCAUCUGUACCUUGCUGAAUCAGAAACUGACAAAAACACAACAACGGAAGAAGGACGAGUGUAUUGCUUUAUUAUCACUCUUUGUUUGUUUGUUCAUGCAGAUUCAUAGAUCUCUAACAAAGAACCCCAAAUCCAAAAAUAGAUAUGUACAAAUUCAAAACCUUAUCCUUAUUCUCGCCCAAAGAAUCAACCAAUCCCAACUAGCUACAAGCUAUCCAUAUCUUGCAUGAAUCAGACAUUAGACAUAUGGGUUUCUUUUGUUU
rnacentral:misc_RNA from 1 species